CUGGUUGAUCCUGCCAGACCCUACUGCUUUCAGAGUGGGACUAAGCCAUGCCAGUCAACGCCCUUGGCGUGGCAUACGGCUCAGUAACACGUAGUCAACAUGCCCAGGGGACGUGGAUGACCUCGGGAAACUGAGGAUAAACCGCGAUAGGCCAAGGUUUCUGGAAUGAACACUGGCUGAAACCUACAUGGCCCCUGGAUUGCACUGCGGCCUAUCAGGUUGUUGGCGAGGUAAUGGCCCACCAAACCUGCACCCGGUACGGGCUUUGAGAGGAGGAUCCCGGAUACGGGCACUGAAACAACGGCCCAGGCCCUUCUGGGAGCAACUUGGAUUUAACUUCUGACUUGGCGACCCUUGACGGAUGUUUUCGGAGUGAUGCCCGCCCCGGGCACCUUUGGGGUGCUCAUUUCCGCGGCGGAUGAAGGGGUGGGUGAGUCUGCCGUCUUCUACACCGGUAUUACCAGUGUCCCGAGUGGUCGUUACGAUUAUUGGCUCUAAAUAACCCUGAGCUGGUUCUGCCUAUUUUCCAAGAUUUCUCCCCUGCUUGCCCCACGGGCUGCGGGAGAUACUGUUUGGCUAGGAAGCAGCAGACUCCAGCUUCUCUAAGCGGUUCGGGUUACAAGCCUGUGAUCCCCUGAACACAACAACAGGCUAAUCCGGUUUGCCCCACUCCCUCGACCGUGUGGUAUUUAAUCCAGAAGCAUUCCACGGGAUCUUGGUCUCCGGCAGUCUCACCUCUAUCCCACGA
rnacentral:rRNA from 1 species